AUGGCCAGUGAGGUGGUAACUGCUAGGCCUAACCAUUGCUGUUGUUGAAGGAUUUGCGGGUCAUUAUAUUUUGCAAACCAGGAAGCAUAUGGAGCCUCAGGGAAAACAAGUUUUUCAAAGUCUACUGAAAUCUGCCCCCAGUGAUGGCUAUUACAGAGGUGUCUGAACCCAAAGUGACAAAAUGAGAAGCAGAGGUGCAAGUCCUCCUGCCAAUAAAGAAAGAAUAAGAGAUGCUCAUAAACAAAUUACUCUGUUAAAUCACAUCACUCAGAUAAAGGAGAAUGUUCUUACAUAGCAGCCUAAAUCUAUGAAGCUAAACAUUUACUAGAAGAUCAAGGUAAAAAA
rnacentral:lncRNA from 1 species